UCUCUCCAGCCACAUCUCCCAUCUCCUACUAUGAGUUUGUCAUAGACCCCACCUCCUUCUCCCGCUCUGUGGAGAACAUCUUCCACACCUCCUUCCUGGUCAGGGAUGGUUUGGCGAAAAUGUACCUGGAUAAUCACAAACUUCCUUGUAUCGCCCCUGUGGAGGAAGGGGAGGUGGAGGCUGGAGGAGCGUCUAACAGGCAGCAGUGUGUCAUCUCUAUCAGCCCCAAGAGCUGGAAGGAGUUAAUUGAGGCCUUUGAUAUCACCGAGCCACUGAUCCAUGCUCCCAGCACACAGAACACAGAAUGAUGCUGAUAUAACAGCUAUUUCCUUUUUAAAACAUUAGAGAAUUUUAUCGACUUUAACUUUAGCUAUAAAUAUUAGUUUUCUAUUCAUAGGUCUUGUUCGCGGUUUUUUGUAUUGUUUGAUUAAAGAGAGUGAACCCAA